rnacentral:rRNA from 1 species
UACGAAGGGUGCAAACGUUGCUCGGAAUCAUUGGGCGUAAAGAGCGUGUAGGCGGCUUUACAGGUCCGUUGUGAAAACUCGAGGCUCAACCUCGAGACGCCGGUGGAAACCGUAAAGCUAGAGUCCGGAAGAGGAGAGUGGAAUUCCUGGUGUAGCGGUGAAAUGCGCAGAUAUCAGGAAGAACACCCGUGGCGAAGGCGGCUCUCUGGGACGGUACUGACGCUGAGACGCGAAAGCGUGGGGAGCGAACAGG